GGCAAAUUCAUUUCCCCUCUCUCCUCAUUAUCCUUCUUCUCCAGAAUAGAAGAUUCUUGCCAUCUGCUCUCUUUUCCUCUAUGCUCCUUCUCACGAUUCCGGUCAGCUAGGGUUUUCUCCGCAGCAACUGAUGGUGGAUUUCUCUCUGCCGAUCUAGGGUUUAACUCUAAAUCCCCACCUAAAGCAACUUAGCCAAAAGAUACCACUUUUCUCCUAACGUUACCUCUGUAUCCAUAUGACUGGUCCGGCCAGCUGCUGAUCGUUUCUUGGACAGAACCAACAUAAUUUGAGAGAGAGAGAGAGAGAGAGAGUUGACACAGAGAGCAGAGUGUCGGGUGCAUCAGGUUGGAGAGACUGUGAAUGUGGAUUACUUUUCGGUUGAUGGGGUUUCGGAUCAUGAAUUGCAUCUUGAUGAGGUUGUGAAACAAAGGGAGGAGCUUCAGCAUUUGGAGGUUAAUUUGAAGGCUAGAUUGAUUGCUAGAUCAGAAGUGACUGGGAUUCAUGAACGGUUUGAUUCGCAGAUUAAAGAGCAUAUUACUUCAAAUGUUAAACUUCAGGAACAACUGCAUGAAAGGGAAAAGACUAUAAUGGACUUGCAAAGAACUUUGGAUGAUAAGGAUAAAGAGCUUCAUGCAAUUAGACUGGACCAUGAAGUGGCAUGGGCUAAAGAGGACCUCAUACGUGAGCAACAAAAAAAAAGGAACUGGCAACUUUUCGGAGAGAACGUGAUAAUCCUGAAGCUGAAAGGGCUCAACAUAUUAAAAAAAUCCAUGAAUUACAAGAACAUGUUCAAGAAAAGGAGAGGUAGCUCACGAAAUUGCAGGAACAGGUACCCUUUCAGCUAUUCUUUUGUAAUAUAAACCAAUACCAUCAUGAUUUCAAAGCUUUUUAAUCUUUAUUCUAAUUGCCACAAUAUCAUUGACUUGUGUUAUAUGUUAUAUCAAACUGAGCACAUCAAGUCAAAGCAUUUAUGAUGAUCUAUAAAGCUGGCUUUUAAAAGGCGCUACUGGCAUGCGCCUCAGGCACAAGGCUGGUCACUUCUGAAUUGAAAAGGCCUAAUGUGUACACACGGCACACUAAAGGCGAGGCAGGCGCACAGAAAAGCGGCUUGAAGCGCACUCGGCUCCGGAGUCUACUGGUGUUGAACAUGUUGGAAGCAGUAUGUUUGAUCAUGUGCCUAAAGCUGGUGGAGUUUAUAUGACAGUUAGUCUUACACUUGAGGUUCUUCUCAAUUGCAUUUGAAAAGUAUUUAUAACACAGUUCAUACUUUAUUUAUGAAGCUUUGAUAUAAAUAUUAUUAUAAAAUUAUUUAGAGCUCAAGUUAGGUGACAUGGAAUUUUCGAUAUCUUUUGAUAGUACCACUUGAAUGAAUUGGUGGAGGUAAAUAAUAGGUAAUUUUUUAGCUUUUUUUUAUGCUAAUGAAGUUUUAUUUUGAUAUAGAGUUUUCGAUAUCUUUUGAUAGUACCACUUAAACGACGAGAACCAUGAAAAUAAAAUAGUAUCAAUUACAAUGAAUAUUUGCUUUUUAAACCCAUCAUUUCAAGUAAUGUCGUUUUUUAAACGAAACAUGGUGUAAUGAGAAGGGUGAUAUAAAACGUGAAAUAUGUUAUCAGGUGGCGUUUUGUUUGUCUAUUAGGGAUGAGCAUGAGUAUUUGUAGUUUUCAUAUCAACAGGUUUUGGUAUUAAUGGCCGGGUUACUUUACUUUUUUACAAGAGGCUCGGUUAAUUCCGUUGACCAUCGGUUAACUGUCGGCUUUGAACAUAGGUGGAUUCAAUGAUCAACAACUGCUUUUGGCUUCACCUUUGUGUAGGGUGUUUUUAAAUUAUAUCUCUAACAUAUGCAAUUCUAAGAUAUUCCUUUUAGAAGUUGACAUUGUAUUAUUUGUGAAAUAAUGUCAUAUUAUAACCUCAUUAUCUCUGUUCUAAACUUCUACUAAUUGAUGUUCUUUAUUUUAAUAGUUUAUUACCUGAUCAUAAGUUGAGGACACUUUUUCAGCAACCUCUGAAUCACCUUCGAGAUUUAAAGGAAUUCAAUUCACUUCUAUCAUCUGGCAAUGGGAGGAAUGACUAAAACAGAGGUACAUCAAAUUGUGUUACAAUUCCAUAGACUAAGUUACAUUUGUAGAUGCUUCUCACAACUAUAGUCACUAAGUCAAAUGUGACUAAAAUAUGAGAUUUUAUUGUAUAUAACUACCAAGCCAAAUAUGAUUAACACUUUUGGAGGCUUUCCAUUCGUUUGACUCAUUUCUUAUUUAUUUAUUUUUUUUACCCUUCUCACCAAUUAGUAAUUUAAGAUAACUGGGUCGACCCAUUUUAUGUUAUGUUAUUUGUUAAGCCAGUUAGUUCUAAGGUUCGGGGUAUCUAUGUUGGUUUUACAAUUAUUAGUAAAUCCAAUUGCUUCCUUCCCUUGGGGGUAGUAUUUUUCAUUAUGAUAGGGGGCAAAUAGCUUUUUUUUCAAAUAAUAAAUAACGACUAUUUGCAAAAGUGACGUGUUUUUAACAGGUAGAUAGAUGUUUCCUCUACCUACGUUAGUUGAUUUUAGUUUAUAUUGAUAGUUGAGACUUGAUUAAUAUAUUAUUUAUCUUGACUAUUUUUUUCACUUGAAACACUUCAUUUAUAAGGUUGCUUGUGUUGUGUCUGCAUAAACUGUUGUCUCAAUACAUGGUGUCAAAUUCCAAGAGAUUCUUCGAGUCAAUGAGGUGGUUUAGUGAACACAUUCAUCUCUAUUUCAAAAUUAUAUUUUGAUCCACUAUUGAUGCGUAACAAGGUUUAGGUUGGAUACAUUGCAAGCUUUUAAGGAAGGGAGUUAUGCUACCAAGAGCUGUCAGCUUGUGUGCAAAUAGGUCUAUCGACAACUGUUUUUAACAGUAUUUGUUUUUUUAUAUAAGUUGGGGGUGUUAAAAUAUGUUAAUAAUCGUAACACGAGAACCAAUUGUGAGUAUAGUAGCAUUUGUAUCUAUGUAUAAUUUAUUAAGUCGAUAAAUUUAUAAGAAGUAUUUCCUGUA